UAUGUCAAACUGCUCUCUGUUCCUUCAGAAGUGUAUUGGACUACUCGGAACCAGAGAAAAUGUGCCAAAGGAGACGGAGAGAAUUUUUCAGGAAUAUCCCCUUGCCUUACUGGGUCUGUGAUGAGAAGAUUUGAGGGACUUAGCAGCCUUCCCAUAGAAGCGGGAUAAUUGAUUUGAGUUUGUUAUGACACUGCAACUUGUUACAACAAGUGAGCCACCCUCUGCAAGAACAGAGCAGGAGGAGACAAGGUCUGCGCACUUCUGUGAGUACUGUUGGGGUGGAAGUUCUCUGGCUUUCAGUGUUUGGACAGUAAAUUCAAUGUCAACAUACGUACAGACACCAGAUCUCAGAGGAGUUAGAGGUAAAUAGCCAUUCUUUUUGAGGUUUCUAGAAAGAGCUGCAGAGAUGAGGGAUUUCUCUGAGUUUUUGGCCUGCCAUGAAUUGGCAGAUGACUUGGGAGGAGGUAGUCCCCAGUUGUUUGGCAGUGCCAAGAGCGAGAUUUGAACCAUGCAAGCUUUUGGCAGCUAGGGAACAUUCACACUAGAGACUUCAGAGUCCUGGCCUCAUUUUGGCUGCCAGUGACAGUUUUUGCUGAUCUAUUUUAUUUUUAUUUGGUCAUUAAAAGUAAAAGUUAUGUGUCUCAGUUCCUCUGUUAGUCUAUCCCAGGAAGCUAAAAAAGUCCCAUGGGAAACAAAUUUUCUGGUCUAUACAAAAAACUACCCCACCCAUUUUGUUUUGGCUUCCUAAAAAUGGAGGAUUCUUGAAGUCUCUACCACCAAAUAAGAGCCUGGAUCUUGACAAGCUAUUGAUUAGGUGACAAAAAACCUAAAGACAGGACUCAUGUGACUUGUGCUGCCAAUGGCACAAUCUAAAAGUUGAGAAACUGGCUAUUACAGUGAUGGAAUCAAAAAUCCUGAUGGAAAACAUCCAGUUUCUAAAGAACGCUCAGGAAAACCUCUCUGCGUAAAGGAUUUUGGGAACCAGAUCCAAACGCAGUCGGUCGGAACAAGGCCAGUAGCGCUGAUCGUCAGGAACCACAAAUUCUGCUCCACAGGAAAUUCCUGUGUCUUUUAAAACUUGUCUGACAGCAAAAUAUUCCACUGAAAGAAACCUCUGAGCAAUCCCAAUUUCUGGAUUUUUUAAAAAUUCUUCUUUCUCCUGAAGUGUUAGCCAGUAGCAUUUACCCUGAGAGCCAGAACCGAGGAAUGAACAGGCCGAUCUAGCAGGGUCACUCUUUUACCACAUCUGGAAGUGAACUGUGAGCAGAAUGAGCUUUUCAUGUUGGUGGAGAGGGCCAGAGGACGGUAACGGUGGUGAUGACCAGGAGAAAGUGGCCUCUGCUUGUGGCAAGAGCAAACAGAGUGGGACUGUCCAGCUCAAGGGCCUGCAGCAGGCAGCCAUAAAACAGCUUGGGAAAGGCUAAUCGGGAGCUAUUUUUGCAGUGCAAGUGGUGAGGGGGGAAUUUAGUGUAUUACUGCAGCAAGUACUUUUUACAUCGUGGGUUUACAGGUAACUCGUGGAACAAUGCGGUGCUGGAGAUACACAUAAGGUUUGAAGAAAAGACCAGGUUUAGUGACAACAGGUCAAUCCUGCCUCCGAAUCAUAAGUACUUAUGUCUCGGGCAGUCACGUUAGGAACACGUCAGGUGUGAUUUGCUACGGCAGCACCAAAGGGACCUUAGUUAAUUAAAUAGAGCUUAGAAGAAAACAUGAGCAGAUUUUUUCCCAUUAAAUUCCUGGUUACACGAGUUGAGCUGGGCCAGGAUGCCGUGGAGGGGUGUCUUUCCAGGUACACGCCCCACUGUGACUGCAGCAUGGCCGGGAAGCAGCUGGAGCUCAGCACCAAGCGAGCGCUGGGCCGUCAGGUGAUGCGCGGAGCCGUUGAGUGUGCUGAGACCAUCCGCCUGGAGCUGAGUACUGCCAAACCUCUACGCACCGAUGGGCUCGCUGUCGGAAGGCGGAGCUGCCGCAACCGAGUUAAAGAAGGUGCUUGCAAGAGCUUUAGGCGGCACCUUCCCAGAAGAGUAACAAUCCAGAGUUUGCAGUUCCAGUGAAGUGCUGUCUGAGAAGUGCUGGAAAAAAAAGACGACUUGAGUGCCUCUGCGAUGAGAAGAUGACGUGCCACUUACUGCAGCUCCACAGACACCGUAGCGGUUGGCAGACGUCCGGAUAUAGUGCAAGAGGAGAGAAAGACCACCUCUUCUUGCAGAUGACUUACCAACCCUAUGUCAAAGCUAGAGCUGCCUUCCCUUCACCUAGUCACCAGCAAAAGGAGGAGCAGAGGAUUCAACACACAAGCUGUUAACAGCACCGCGUAUGCUAACAAGGGCUGAGGAGGGUAAGGCCGGAGAGCUCCGUCAUCCUCCUGACUGAGCAGACUCCUCAGAAGAGGCGUUACGCCCCUUGCAGAAUUGACCUGGCAGGUUGGUACAAGUGCAGAGCCCACAGAGAGAAGUCCUGAAGCCGUCCUAGGAGUAUCUGCUGUAUUUCUUCAUCAGUAGCUUUCCUUUUCAAUUUCAACCAUUGAUAACAUCUCACCUUUUUUCUUCCUACCUUCUUGUCUUGUAGGAGAAUCCUUCCCCCCUCCCUCCAAAUCAAGCCUAAAUCUAUUUAAGGUGAGAAAGGAGAGGAAGGAAAACCAAAAAGAAACAAGAAUAUAGCCAACCUUUUUAAUUAGAGUAUAUUGUACUUCCAAACUGGAUACACUAGAAAUUGGCAAUGCAACGUAAGAUGCAAAGAAAUAUACCAGUUACUGUCAAAAUGACCCUGUACAGCCUUAUAAUGCAAAAAGCUUUAUACAAUACAAAUUUUUAUUAAUGUACACAAACCUUGACAGAAUGAUAUUUGAACAUAAUACAAGUAAAAAAAAAGACAGAAGAAAGAAAAAAGUGCUGAGAACUUUAACUGAAUUACCAAAUGGAAAAACACACUAGCUUUUGUUAAAGAAUGCAUAGUGAAAACCAGUAUGAAAUUACCUUUAUGGUGGGGGGGGGAAUUUAUCAGAACUGUUGGUCAUUAGUCGGUAGGGGAACCUCUGGAGAACAUUCCUUUCUUUAGCCUUGAACUGCAAACCAAUUAUUUUAAUAUGCAUGAGCUCUGAUAAAUACUGUAUUUUUUUU